rnacentral:rRNA from 1 species
ACACUGACGUCGCGACGCAUAUCAAUAAGCGGAGGAAAAGAAACUAACAAGGAUUCCCUUAGUAACGGCGAGUGAAGCGGGAAGAGCUCAAAUUUGAAAUCUUCAAGGUUCUACCUUGACGAAUUGUAGUUUAAAGAAGUGUUUUCUGUUAGAUGAGUAGCAAAAGUUCCUUGGAAUAGGGACAUCAUAGAGGGUGAGAAUCCCGUAUUUGGUCAUUCCUUCUAGCUUUGUGAUACACUUUCAAAGAGUCGGAUUGUUUGGGAAUGCAGUCCAAAAUGGGUGGUAAAUUUCAUCUAAAGCUAAAUAUUGGCGAGAGACCGAUAGCGAACAAGUACCGUGAGGGAAAGAUGAAAAGAGCUUUGAAAAGAGAGUUAAACAGUACGUGAAAUUGUCAAAAGGGAAGCGUUUGACACCAGUGUUGUUUUUCCGAAAAUCAAUUAUAAAUGUUUUGUUUCUGAGGAGUGAUGACUUCAUCGGCUUCCUUCUCUCUUCACGAAACUUUUGUAAUGCACUUUUCGGUUAACAAGUCAACAUCAAUUUCUUUUGUUGUAAAAGAGUAUUCGGAAGGUGGCUUUCUUUUCGGAGAAAGUGUUUAUAGCCCUAUACUUCUACAAUCGGAGAGAUUGAGGUCUGCAGCGUAGAUCCUUCGGGGUUAGAUACACUUGUGCUAAGUUAUAGCUUUUCAUAGACAACUUGUUGACUAUGUUUAGUCUUGUAGCUUACUCGCUUGUGCUAUUUUACCUACGCUUAGGAUGUUGAGUCGUAGAGCACGCAG